UACGUAGGGUGCAAGCGUUGUCCGGAAUUAUUGGGCGUAAAGAGCUCGUAGGCGGUUUGUUGCGUCUGCUGUGAAAACUCGGGGCUUAACCCCGGGCCUGCAGUGGGUACGGGCAGACUAGAGUGCGGUAGGGGAGACUGGAAUUCCUGGUGUAGCGGUGAAAUGCGCAGAUAUCAGGAGGAACACCGGUGGCGAAGGCGGGUCUCUGGGCCGUAACUGACGCUGAGGAGCGAAAGCAUGGGGAGCGAACAGG
rnacentral:rRNA from 1 species